AUGUUAAAAACAAACUUUGUUGAUAGACCUAUUACGUAAACGAAUAUCCACACACACUUCAGACAAAAAUCAGACAUUUUCCCAUGAUUAUUGCCCAACAUUGUGCUAUAUGUGGUGACUUAUCUUCUCUCUUUAUACUGCCAAACAUUGAUAAAGUCUCAUUAAUCUUCUCUGUCUGUCUUUUAAAUGUUUGUCCCUGUCUUAUUCAAGGACAAAACCAACUUUUGCCUGUGGGAAUCUCACACAUUGGCAGAUGCCAACAUAUUUAAAGAGCAUUCAGAUCCUUGGAGAAUUAAAUAUAUUUUUUAAUUCGCUCUGAUCUGUUCCAUUCGCAUUUACUCUUCAGUAAGUCAGUUCUGGUGAUGAACAGCAUGUUUGUUGUCUGGACUCUCAGUUUUCUGAUCCUCAGCUACACUCUUGGGUUUCCCAAUCCUAAAAACAUAAGCAGUGAAUCUCGAACUGGAGACUUUUCACAAUGUCACAGAGGGAAACUCCACAGACCACAUAAAGACCAAUCAGACCAGGUAUGCUUGAUGAUUUUAUAAAACAGCAUGAAUGAUGUUGACAGACUGGUUGGGAAAGGUCACAUUAUCUGACUUUGGAUGCGAAUAUGCUAAAUUUUGAUCAUCUUACGCAUGUUGGGCUCUUAAAACAGGUAAGAAGAACUUCAUUUAUUUAUAAAACAUGACAAAUCUACUCUUUCAUAAACAGUAUUUCCUCUGUCACUGUUACCAUUAGGCUAAUAUUUGUAGUUCUUUACUGCUGUUCAUAAGUAAGUAUGUCAACAAUGACAACCCUAAAUAGUUUUAGCAUAUUAAUGGACGUGACAAUGUUAAUGUAUUUGGGUUUCUACUUGUACUUGGACUUGCUACUGCUAAUAGAUAUGCAGACACAGUGCUGUCAGGAUAUAAGAUAUGCUCCUGCUGCAAUAGGCAUAUAUAAAUCCCAUAGCAGAUGUAGACAGGUGGAGCUGGGGGAGGUGGAGGAUUUAACAUGAACUCUGAUAGCACGAAGCAGGACCAGCUUACUGCAAACACUAAACCAAACUAUUUAAAUGUUCAGCAAGCAAUAUCAUAGCCUGCAGAAUCAGCAGAGGCUGAACAGCUCAUGCCAUGUAGGAAAUGAUUGCUAGUAGAUUGCAUGUAAAGAACCUGCCUUUUAACCUCCUAACCUGCUGUCCUAUUUUUAAACAUUUUCUGAAAAACGGCAUACCCAAUAAAAAUGUCGGUAGCUCUUGAACCCUAUGGUCUAUAUUUAUAAAUCUGGUCUUUUUUGAAACUAGACACUUGAUAGUUUGUUACCCUGGAAUCAUAAUAACUCAGUUAGUAUAGCAACAGAGUAAAUCAGGGUCAAAUAUACAUGAAAGUGACUCACGAUUUUAUUGCAUGAAUUUCACUUAGGGUAAAAUGGAUGAGACUUUUUAAAGGAGUCAUAUGAUGUUCCUAAAAGAACAUUAUUUUGUGUAUUUGGUGUAAUGUGAUGUGUUUACAUGGUUUAAGGUUCAAAAAACAGAUUAUUUUCCACAUACUGUGCAUUAUUGUUGCUCCUCUCUGCCCUGCCUUUCUGAAUCACGUUGAUUUUUACAAAGCUCAUCGUUCUGAAAAGUGUGGUGUGCUCUGAUUGGCCAGCUACCCAGUGCGUUGUGAUUGGCCGAAUACGUCACACUUCUAACGGAAAUGUUACGCCCCUUACCAUGUUGCGAUGCCAUGUCCCGGCAUGACGAGACAAAAUCAAUAAAACCCAUUAUAAAUGAAGCAUUUGUUGCAUGGGGAGAUAAUUACUGAUUAUGAUAACUUCUAUUGUAUUUUUACAUAAACAUAAAACCUGUCUGCAUUUGUGAUUGUAGAAACAACAAACAACAAGAACUACUCUACACUGCUCAAAACUCAUGUUUAAAUAGUUAGUAGCAAAUUCUUUAAAUAUGAAAAGGUACUGACAGGCUGUGAGUCAGAAGUGCCAGACUGUCCUUGCAAAGUUGGAAUUGCCCACUUUAUAGAAACAGCCUUUGUGCACAGCUGGCAUUGUAUACUACUCUCCCAGGUUCAGGAAACAAUUCUCCACAAAAUGCACUGCACACACUCGAAUAUUUGCAUUGUAUUGUUCUGGAACAGUGUUGUAAAUAUAACUUGGAAGGCCAAUCAAAGUAGUUUUGCUUUCGCAACGAAACACACAGUGUCUUCACGACAUCGUUAUGGCGACAACAAUACUACAGCAAGAAUAAAAGUUACGUCUUUCUUUGCAUAUACAUUUGGGCGGUGUUAUGCAAAUAUUCUCACACAGUGAUGUAGAUUUGUGGGGGUGUGUUAGAAUGAGGCAUUUUAGGAAGGCGUGUAUGAGUCUUAAUUUUUAUAAAGAAUAUCUGUUUGGGUUUGAGACUUAAAUCUUUGCAACUUUACGGAUCUUAUAUAUGCACAAACAACUUGUAUUAAUGCAGAAAAAUGUUUUUUUUUUUUUUUCCAAUUCUGAAACUUUCUAAGAUAAACGCUCUUUCUUAUCACUAAUGAUUUGUCUUUUUUGACAGACAUGCAUUACAGCUAGAAAAUAAUCUUAUAAAAGUCAUGCGUGUGGUUUGUCCUCUGGCAACUUGUUCCUUGUCCAAUCUGGGGUCUUCCCUACAGAUUGGAGAUGAAGUCGCUGGAGACUCGGCCAGAGAUCCAAUGGGAAAUGGCAAGAAAUGAAGCAAGACAGAAAAAAACAGCAUGAUCCUGACAGAGAAAGUCCCAGUGCAUUCCCAGUGCAAAUAACUCUUGAAUCGAAUCUGUGUUUUAGGUUAACAGAUUUGUCACAGUGCUUAAAAUCAGAGGUGCAUCUAAAUGUAAGCUAAUAUUCAUCUGUACUUCACAGGAAAGCAAGGCUAGGAUGCCAAUAUGCUCCUACCUGUGCCGUGCAAAAUCUGGCCGAUGACAUGCAGACUGGGGAUGAAAAAGCAGGACACAGUGCAAGUGACUGCGAAAAAAUAAAAGGUGUAUAAGAGAAAAAGGAUUCUCUUAUUUGAUUGUUUUUAGAUACACUUGAGGUCAAAAAUUUACAUACACCUUGCAGAAUCUGCAAAAUAUUAAUUAUUUGAUCAAAAUAAGAGUAUCAUACAAAGUGCAUGUUAUUUUUUAUUUAGUACUGACAUGAAUAAGAUAUUUCACAUAGAGGAUGUUUACAUAUAGUUCACAAGAGAAAAUAAUAGCUGAAUUUAUAAUAGCUGAAUUUAUAAAAAUGACCCUGUUCAAAAGUUUGAUUCUUAAUACUGUGUUGUAACGUGAAUGCUCCACAACUGUUACAGAAGGUUCAAACACUCACUGAUGCUUUAGAAGGAAACACUACGCAUUAAGAGCCAGGGGGUGAAAACUUUUGAACAGAAGGAAGAUAUUUCUUUCUGAUGAUGUACGAUCCCUCUUAUUUUGGUAAAAUAAUUAACAUUUUGCAGAUUCUGCAAGAUGUAUGUAAACUUUUAACUUCAACUGUACCUUUAAUUGCCUCGCCUUGAUUCACAAGUGCUACUUUACAAUACACAUUUUAUUAUUCAUGCAAAGAGAGAAAAUAUAGAAAUAUAUGUAUGUAUAAAUAUCUACACUUGCUAAU